CCUACGGGAGACUGCAGUGGGGAAUAGUGGGCAAUGGACGCAAGUCUGACCCAGCAACGCCGCGGGAAGGAAGAAGGCUGUCGGGUGGGAAACUUCUUGUAAGGGGGAAGAGCAGAAGACGGGACCCCUGGAAUAAGCCACGGCUAACGACGUGCCAGCAGCCGCGGUAAUACGUAGGUGGCAAGCGGUGUCCGGAUUUACUGGGUGUAAAGGGCGUGCAGCCGGAGAGACAAGUCAGAGGGGAAAGCCCCGGGAUCACCCCGUGAACUGCAUUUGAAACUUUUUCCCUUGAGUGUCGGAGCGGUCAUCGGACUUCCUUGUGUAGCGGUUACAUUCGUAGAUAUCAGG
rnacentral:rRNA from 1 species